UGUUUUUCUGAUGUUGAGACUUUUCACCAUCACUUGAGCUGCCUAGAAUCAUCAUGGUAGCUGCCAAGAGAGCGGAACGGGUGUUAGAACUGCUAAUGGAGCUGCUGUGUUUAGUGAUUUUUGCGAGUUUCAACUUUGAGUGACACAGGUUCGAAGACUCCGUUUGAAGCUGCAGGCGAAUAUAGAACUUAUUUAUGAGUUAAGUUUAUGAGUUAAGUUUCUUUCAUAGA